GCAGACUGAGCACGUGGUGUUCUUCUACUUCUUUGGAUCAUGGCCAUAACAAUUUCAGCUAAAUUAAAUAAGCUACUAUAGGUAAGCUAACAUUUCAGAUGUUUUCAUUCAUUGCUUUGUGGAAUCUGUUAGGCCACUGCCUUUCUUUGAUGUUCCCACCCAAUUCUCACCCGAUCUUCUUUGGAAAGCAUUUGAUGAGUAGGGUAUUUUGAGAAGUAAUUAAUUUCACUUGGCAAAUGUGCGGUAGAUGCAUUCUUUGAGAUCACACAGUUGUAGUGCCCUAUUGUAUAAUCAUGCCAGAGAUAUUUCUUUGUGAAGGUUUAUUUUUCCUUUCUGGCUGAGCUGCUGCUAAUAUCCUGGCUUUUUCAUUUGUAUUGAUUUUGCUGUAAGUGCUGUGUAGCAUAUAUUCUGCCUUUUAGGCAGACAGAAGCUGUUGGGUUGCAUUCUACUCCCAAGCACACUGGCGUGGUUGAGAACAAAUGUUGGUCCUAAAUUAUUAUUCAGCUUUAUAUUAUCAGAAGCUUUUGAAUAGGCUAGUCAGGCAGAAUUUCAACCUUGCAACGGCUCGUAACUCAAGCAUAAGCAAGUAUGAAGGAGAUUACAACAUUUCAUACUUUGUCACUGCUGGGGACAUAAGCGUUACCCAUUGUUGUGGCAAGAUGAGUGGUAAAGACAUUCUUUACAAUAAAAUAACUAAGGGCUGCAUCCAACUAAGCGAUGCCAUGUCCUUUAACAUCAGUGAGCCUACUCUGGGUAGAACUAGCACAGGACAUAGCCAUGCGUGUUUAUUGUGCUAAGCCUGCUACUGAAUCUGGAAUCUUGAAGAAAGCAACUUUCUGGCUCAUAGGGCUGCAGAAAGUAUUGAUGAAUGGGCAGUCUGCCAAAGGAUCAGUUGGGAAAAGGCCAUUAGUGAAUGGCACAACACCUUGCCUCACAUCAUUUUCCUGCUCAUUGAGCACCCGACUUUGGGAAGCCCUGAAAAGCAUACAACCACCACACCGGAGGCAGACUGUGGUCUUUCAAAUUUCAGUGGCAUCCUGUGCAAGGCCAAAAUUUGGCAUGUGCCCUCACACCUUCUUUUCUGCUCAAUUCACUAUGUCUUGGUUGUGAUGCCCUGUGGCAACCCCUAGGCUCAGCACCCAGGGCAGCGGAACCAGUCACACUUCCCUAAAUCCGCCUCUGACAGCACAACGCAAAAUAAUUCAUUCUAUGUCAGUCUGCUAGCUGAACUGUCCCCUUGACACAUACAUAACAAUACUUAAUAUUUGCACAGUGCUUUCAAGUGUUCAGAGCGCUUUGCAUGUAUCAUCAAGUCACUGUCCUUACCUAACCCUAUUAAGCCUCCUGAGGGAAGUCAGCAGAUAGAACUCCCAUACUAUAGAUGAAAUGUGUAAGACAGCGAGUAGCUGGCCUAAAGCCAACUACUGUGUUCGUGACGAAGGCACCAUUCUGAUCUGACUUUCUGAUUUGCAACUGAGUCUCUCAGCCACUACACAAGUGAAGAUUUCUUACUCACAUCAGAAUGCAUAGCGUGCAGUUUGGAUCCCAGUUUUUAUCAUCCUGGGUUGCUUGGGAAUGUUUUAUGUAUGUUUAAGGGUCAUGCAACAGUGUAACUGUACCUAAAGUACAGACAAGUAUUUAAGGGUGUGAAAAUACAUACCUCCAUGAGAAACAGAUAGGUACAUCUUACUAUGGGAGCUGCAAACAGAGAGCUGACAGGCUAACAUCCAUGAGAAGGGACUCAGAAGCAGGUGCCAGGCUAACUAAAGAAACUUAAAUUCACUCUCUCAUUUGUAUCUCUGGGGAAGUAGCAACAGAAGGAUAUUAAUAAACACUUCAGACACCAAGGAAUACUAUGCUGUUUAUGCUCUUCUUUUAUUAAAGAGAAAGACCCAUUUAUCCAUUAACACAGCAACUUCGUUUUUAUUUUUAAAAAGUGUAACUCAUUUGUAAAAAAGAGUAAACCUGUUUUGGGAUCAGCAGGACAAGAGUUGUUAGCUAACCAGCAUAAUAUACAGCUGUCUCCAGGUAUAUGGAUUCCUCAUUAUGGAGGGGAAUCAGUGGCUGCAUCCAGACUUAAUGCUGAACCAUAGUUUAGCAUAUGGGAAUGAGUCUGGUGAGACUCAGGCACAUGCACUUCUACUAAACCACAGCUGAUUGUAACUAACCAUGGUUACUUGUUUAAUCUGAGCUGAGAAUUAUGGCUAGUGUUAACUACAGUUUAGAGUGGGGAAACUAUGGAAAUCUGGAUAUUGUUUGACUCCAACUUCCACCAGCCCCACCCUGGCCAAGGAUGAGAAAAUGGGGAGCUGUAGUUCAGAAACAUCUGGAGACCCACAUGUUCCCCAAUCCAUGUGUGCUGAAGUUGGGUUUCCUUAUAUCACAGAUAGCAUUAACCAGUUUGAUUUGGACAUAACAAGUAGUUGAAAAUGGAAGCAAAACCUCCCCAUCUCCUCUGUGUGGCUGUGCUGGGGGAGGAGAGGGAAGGAGGGAGUCCAUGAGCCAGAAUCAAUGGACCCAUUAAAUUAUGGUCUGUCCCGAUUCUACAUGGGAACAGGACUUAAGUCUGUCCCGUCCUGUUUCUGUGCAGAUUUUUAAGUGGGGAAAUAUUCUAAGUAGAAUUGUAUGGAACAACAUGGCUGCCCCCAAUUUUCAUAUGGGGGCAGCCAUGGUAUUUUUGUACAAUUCCUCCUGAGAACAAGGAAAUGCCAUCAAGUCGUGCUGCUCCCAGGGGAACUGCCUGUGUUCCAUUCAAAGCACACAGAAACAAGGAACCCCACGUGCUAGCCACUUCAGGCUGUGGGUAACUGAAUUGCCCAUUAAAAAAGCUUAAAUGUAAGAAAUAUAUCUUACAUGAACAGAUGCAGCCUUGCAGCCCUGAGACUACCUCAUAAAGUGAUAUUUGCUGUGGGUUCUGAAAGGAACCUAUAAUCUGAUCCCAAUCAUGAUCAGAUCACAUAAGGUCACUUUGGAAUCUGAUCUUAGUGGAUUCCUCCCCCAAAUCCUGAGCAGGAGCCUCAUGGAUGUAAUGCUAACCCAUAAUUUAAUGUUGCAUGCAAGCCAAGUCAAUAAUGUAUGUCAACAACAUGGUGAGCAAACUUCCCAGAGUGCAGCUAUUUGUGUUUUAUAGGUAUGUGCCAAUUGUGGUGUAUCAAUGUGCUAAGAAAGAAAAAAAGAACACAACUCUCUUCCCUAGUUAGAGAAGUUUCUGUUUUCUUGUUUGCUGCAUGCAACUGGUGGGAGUGAUGCUUUCCACUAGUAGUAUGUGGCAUGCACUGGUGUGGUGUACUUUGUUUACUUCUGCUCUCAACCUACAGCAUAUAUGCACAUAUACAUAUGGACACAUCAAUCUGUUUGACUCUCUCUUCAUUUAAAUCAAUAGGGCCCCAAUUGGAUUUUAGCAAGGAUGAAUCCUACCAGUGGUGAACCUAUGUUUUUAGGGCCCUGAAGUUUGAAAUGUCAUGGGGGCUCCUUUGUAACCAGCAACGAGGUCUGGCUAACCCCUUGUUACCUUCUUCAGUGGGGUUGUUCCAUGACAGAUCACCACAAUUUUAAAAAAAUUAACUACUUCAUUUCAGAUUUUGAUUAAAAUGGCUGUCCUGGAUUAUCUCACCUGUCAAAGUCAGUAGGGGAAACAAAAAUGCCUUAUGCCUUAUAGAUUUUUAGCCCCACAUUGGGCAAAAGAGUCCUGCACUGAAGCGAGUUGGACUACAUGAUCCAUAGGGUCCCUUCCAACUCUAAAAUUCUAUGGUUUGUUUUUCUGGAUUUUCUAGCAACAUAUUCACAGUCAGUUUCAUCACAGGAGAGCUUCCUUGCAAUGUCAUUUUCUGGAGACAAUAUGCGGAAAGAAUUUAAGCGGUGUUCAGCAGAACAGCCAACUUACCACGCCGCUUCACCUUUGCAGCACCUGCACAGUUUCAAGACUCUUGAAAUAUAUACCACCAAAAAUUAUUCAAUUUGAGUCAUGCUACUCAAAUUGGGUCUAUGGGUCCAUUUUUUUUAAGCAAUGAGGAAUAAAGUUGCUUCUGGGGCCCCUCUGGGAUUAGGGGACCUGAAGCUUAAGCUUCAUUAGUUUCAUAGUAGAUUCGCCCCAGUCCUACCCAAUCUAAUCAGUGAGAUGAUUUGUGGUGCUCAGCUUUGAUAUUAAGGGGGGGGGGACCAAGCCACCUUGCAAAAUGUAGAGAGGAUUUCCUGAAGUAUAUCAAGGAUAUAUCAUUAGAGGAUGAAGAAAUUAGUAAUAUCCUUCAACACUUCAUCUAGUCCAUAUAUAUAUAUAUAUAUAUAUAGUUAUUAUUUACAGUUUGAGAGUAGAGUUGAAUAAACAAGAAAUAAUUUAAUGAGGGCAUUUUUGUACUUCUUGGGGGGGGGGGGAAACAUAAACAAUUAUUUUUUUAAAUGGGGUCAGAGAUGAUGGCCUUCAAAAUCUUCAAUACAUCAACACUUCAGCAUUUCUAUACAGGCUAAGAUACACGUCAGCCAAACCAGUUAGCUAACAGCAAGAAGUCUAUGAUCAGAAUUUUUUUUUUUCCUUCUGUGGGCUAGAGGAACAUCUCUUUGCUUAAUCCUAAAGAGGUAGCAAGCAGUAUGCAAUCAAUUUCUGAAGAUGUUCCUGGAAAAUGUGAACAAACAGUGCCACUAACAUCACUUGCCUCCGGCAGCAGGAAACCUAUCUCUCUGCUCUGCUUGAUGUCAGGUUAGGCAUACUGUGUGGCAUCAUUACCAGACAUCAAGAACAAGUGUGAGUUUAAAAGUAUAUUCUUUUCUUGGUGAGAAAAGAACAUAUAAUCACUUACCCUUCAAACCUAUAAAAUUGGAGUGGGACGAGACCUAGCUGUUAGGGAAUGUUCAACAUUUGUCUUUUCUUAAGGUUUUCCUGGUAGCAAAUAUGUAUUCUCUCUAUCUCUCUCUCUUUCAUUUUCCCUCUUCCCAACAGAUAAAAGGGUAAUAAGCAAAAGGCUGAGCAUAUCCUCCCUAAAGUGAUUGCUGGUGGUUUUCGUUUUUUAAAAACAGUAAUUGGUGGAAGGAGAGAAAGACUAGAAUUGUUGGUAUUUCCUUUGGACAGAUGGUGAACUGGAUCAGAACAACCCACAAGACCUUUAACAAUAUUGUUAACUGAAAUACAAAAUAGAUCUCCCCAUCCCCAAAUUCUUCUGUGACUAUAUUGUGGUAUAUGCCACAAUAACAUACCUCAGUCUUUAAGGUGCUACAAGAAUCUUCGUUGCUUCUUUGGGAGUAAGAGUUUCCAGUAUUUUGAGUUACUCAGAACUGUGUGUUUCCCUACACUUUCCUGCAUAGGCUGGGUGGCUUUCUAAAUGACAGCCUAUGUAAUUAAGAUGUGCAGCUAUUCAGAGUAUUGCCACCCCCAUUUUUAUUAAACUUUUAAACUUGUAUGUAGUAGGUUACAGAAUAAGUAGUAGGUUGCAGCCCAUGAUAAGAGGACAAAACAGCAAAGACCUUUUUCCAGAAAUGAGCACAGAUGGAUGGCAAUGCCCAGUAAACUGCAACUAGGCCAGCACUGAGGUGAUAGUGUGGAGUUGAUGAGAGUGUUAUCCAGUGCCAGUACAGAUAAACCUUCAAGGUUGCUUCUUGGUUUCUAGCUGAAAUAGAUUUUAACAGAGGACUUACUUACCCAUAGUCUGCCCCACACCUGGUCCUCUAUUUGGAUGCCAAUGUCUGGUUCACAGUAAUUUUUGAGUGCUGUGGAUGACCCCAUAUUGAUUUCUAUGAGAAGUUUAUAAUUCUGGGAUACUAAGCCGUUAUAGUCUGGUGUUGAUUGUGUGUACAGAUACACAAAAAAAUGUCUGGGUGCAUCAAGGCUGUCCUUGUUUGUAAAGUUUAUUGGGAAGUGUCCAGAUCUGCAGGCCUUGUAGCUGGGUAUGAGGUAAAUUUCCUAAUUUAACAGAUAGCAUUUCCUUGGCUAUGGGUCUGCGCUUUGGGAGGAGGUCAUAAAGUCUAUAUAAGCUUAAUGAUUCCCCUUUUUUAUAUUGUAGGUAUUUGUCUUCUUGUCUGAAUCCUGGAUGAUUGAGGAAGCAGGCAGCCACGGGUGGAGGUGUUGCCAGGAGAGAUGACCAUCAUUUCCAGAUGUAGGUGUUUGUAUCAGCAUUUGCAUUAGAGUUGGGAAUUUUGUUUUGUUUAAACGUAUUUUAAAAUUUCCAUAAAAUUACAACUACAAAGAUUACAAAUCAAACAAGUAGAGUAUGGAGCCCUCACCUAAAAGUACCGUAAUACUUAGCCCUUACCAGCCACAGAGGACAGUAGCUCCUCCCAGCUCUCACCUGGGAUAUUUCCUUUCUCCUCCCAGCCUCUCACCCUGGGAGACCAACAUUAUCUUGUCUCUCAUGCAGGAUCCUCCAUCAACCAUCCACUACCUCCAUGAAUAUACAAUCUCUGGAGGGAGAAAGAGAAUUUUUUAAAAAGACUAAAGAAAGAAAUAUAUUAAAGAUACAAACAAAAAACUUCUGAUUUUCCAUUUGCCAAUUACAAAAGAAGAACAUAUAAUUAUUUAAAGCAUUCAGUCCAUGCUAACAUCAUCUCCUGUUAAUCAAUAUUAGAGGGGGUUAAAAAAAAAUUAAAGUCUUCUCUCUCUUUUUGCUGUAAUACAGAAAAAAAUGAAAAAAUGAAAAAACCAAAAACAAACAAACCUGUGUUGCUUCACCAUGAGCGAUGUCAGCAAAGAACAGUAUGAUUGCUGCUGUUCCUACAGCCAAUGAGGAAGCAAGAGGGCUAGAUUAAUAAGAACUCUUAUAUGAGGCAACUGGCUAGAGCCUUCGUGGUUGCAGGGAUCUACUCACAAUAGCUUUCAGUUAGAAAAAUGAAUUUCUGACUUGUAAUGCUCAGAAUGUGUGUGACUUGUGUUGUGCUGAUGUCUUAAAACUUCAGAGCAAUUAAGCCACUUGCCCUGUUAAGAGUGUCAUCCAAACUGGCUGGGUAGUUGAGAGGAAGGAAAAUGUGGCUUGUCUCAAGGCCAGUACCUCUAGCAAAGUUCUCCUGAAGAGCUCACACUUAAGUCUCCUUCCCACUUCAAUAAAAAGGACCGUGUGUCAGCCUUCCACUAUCGCCCGCCACCUCUUUGCUUACCCUUGCACAUAUUGAAAGCCAAACCUUGAAAAUGCAGGGCCAACUGCCUUGCUUAGCAAGAGCUAAUUAGUGUGUGCAAAACCGGAGAAGCUAGUGAAUUUGUCUGCAGUUUUGCAAAGACAGCCCCCUUCUGUCAUAAAAGGAAUAGCCAAGUGAUGCCAGCUCCGAAGAGGAGCCUACGUUGCAUUAAAAACCAACUGCCAUGUGCAACUAAUUGCUCCACACACAGCAUAGUCCAAAAAUAAUUGACUCUGCCUGUUUUGCUAUUUUGGGGAACCAAAGAAGAAUUAGCAUGCCAAAACAAAGUGCCACUUAUAAGGGAAGGGAGGAGAACCACUGUGGCCAUCUGCUUUCUAUGUCAGUGGCAAUAUAAAUACUGGUAAAGAAAAAUAAAAUAAAAACCUCUCUCUUUCCUUCACUACUUGCAACAUUGAGAAAGGUCCUUUGGUGAGUUAAUGCACUUGUGGCAUUCUGAGGACAAUCCUCUCUCAUACCGCCCCUCUGUUGGAAAACACCACUAUGGCUCAAAGUACAGUGUACUUGUAUGCUGUUUUGGGGCUAGCUGCCCCAGCAUAUUUCUGAAGGUUAUCGCCAGGAACUGGCGACAAAGCACGUUAGACAAACUUUGCUGGCCUGCAUUGGCUUCCAGUAAUUUUCCAGGCUGAGUUUAAGAUUCCACUUAUCACCUUUAGAGCCUAGAGCCCAGCAUAUAUCUGCAAGAAUACCUCCUCUCAUAUUUUAGUCUCCCUGAUGUUUAGGAUCUUUUGUGCACAUUUGCCUCUGGGCACCUUCUUUUUGAGACGGUGCCCAAAGCUAGGAAUCUCCCUCACCACUCUUCUCAUUUUCCCUUUGUUUUAAUCAGUUUCAUCAGAACUUCUACAACAUCCAUGUCAGAGAGAGGGAGAAAUGCCAGAAGGAAGCCCUUAAAUGCCAUUCAAGUGAGAGGUGAAUAUGGUGCACUGUACAGUAUUACAAGGUUUUAGGAUGUUACAAGGAGUUUACAGGAGUUGGGAUGUACCUGCAUCAGGGCUCAUUUUAUUCUGCUUAUGCAAAGGGCAAAAUGUUCUGAUGAUCAAGAUAAGCCCUUAUUUCUAUGGUCUCAUGUUUCCCUGGGUUGUUCCUAGGUCAACUGCAGGCAGUAUGUGCAGGAUCAUAUUACUUCCAGCAGUUCUUAAAACAGAACAGGCUGCUGUGCUUAGAGUUCAACUACAACAUAUCCCCCUCUCUCCCUAUGCUUCCUUGUCAUCCUGCAACAUCCUGUUGUACACUGUUUUGUGGGGGAUGUAUGUGUAUAACUUUACCUUUUGCAUAGCAGGAAUGUAGACUACUGUACAAAGUAAGAGUUGCAUCCACUGUCCUGCCUACCUUUGCCUCUGGCCCCACCAACCACUCUCAUAUGGUCCCUGGAAGGUUCUCCAGGAGGCAAUGUGGCCAUUGAACUGAAAAAGAUCACUCACCCCUGCAUUAAGUGUUCAGAUACAUAGGUAAAAUGUUAUUCUACUUUUGAUACAUUUGGAGCCUAAACAGCAUCGCCAAAGGAUCUCACCCCUCAAUACUUCCCAGCACUAGAAGAGACCGACCCACAGGAGAAUCUCCACAGGCUGCCAAAAUACUCACUGGUAGACAAAAAACACCCUGAUAUGAUUUACAGUAUAUAAUAAAAAUCAAGAGUUGAGCAACAUGAGAACCGGGAACAAAACUAGCAUAAUUUACAAGACGUAAUAAAGGAAAAGUUGAGCAAUAAGAACAACAGAAAUAUGACUAGUAGCCCUGUUGUAUUUUAAAAAUACUCUCUCAUGAUCUGCAUGUGCAAAAUAUCCAUGGAUGUUAUUUUGAUUGUUCUGGAAAAGCUAUUUUAAAAAAGCAGCAAAAGAACAUGAAAAAGUAAAAAGUCUGCACUAUGUUCCAGUAGCAUCUGCCUCACUGACUGCUCAGUGUCAGGCUAGGCAACAUUCUGGUCUCGUCUUCAUUUCAUGAGAACCCUCCCCUCAUGUCUAGCAGAUGCUUAGCUAUUGUACCAUGUGGGCAGAGUCUGAGUGAAGAAGACAGCCAUGUCACAAAGAAAUGUUUGUCAGAAUAAUCACAGAAUGCAGCACACCAUUACACCCAUCCCCUCCUCCUCUUUAUUCUGUUAUGCUAAGGCUUGUAACAACUGUGGGGUUCCUGCAAUACCAGGAACCCAAUUUCAAUUAACAGUUUGCGAACUAGCAAAUUGUGACGUGGCCAGAGUCAAGUCCAUACAGUAAUAUCAGACAGAAGUGCUCAGAUAGGAGAAUAAAACUAUGUAUGUUAGACCGAAGACAGGCAUUAAAAGUGGGCAACCUUUGAGGCAUUUUAUUCAUGGAACAUCGUCAACUUUGCUGCAGUUAACUUCAAAAUCUCAAGGGGAAUGUUCUCAACUGCUCAAGUAUAAAUCAAAUAUUCAUAGUUCGGGACAGGUGGUUGGUUUCGAUGUAGUUAAAGAUCUAUAUAUUUUGGGAAAUAGUUUGCCUGCCUGUCCACCUGUUCUCUAUGAGUUUGAGCAUCUAUCGAGCUACUGCUGAUAAGUGUGACACAAGGUUUCCCGAGAUGGGGGAAGGAGCUUUGGUCAAUUUUUGCUGCAUGCCAUUUUAAAUCAAGAUGGUGAAUGGAAACAUGAUUUUGGCAUGACUUUGCCCUUUUUUGGCAUAGGUUCAGCUGCCUCUCAAGAUAUUGCCAUUAAACAGCAGUCUUCACUGACACUUUUAAUUAUUUUUUUCCAUAGAAUUCAAGGUUGCCUCCUAUAUGGUUCUCUCCCACCCUAAUUUUGUCAUCACAACAACACUUUGAGAUAGGCCAGACUGAGAGAGCAUGACUGGACCAAAGUUUGCUAGUGAAUCUUGUGUCUUCUCAUUCUUCACCACAGUGGCCCUCAGCACUAUAAGAAAAUUAAAUUAAUUUACCAUUUUCGGUUUAUAAUCAGUAUGUUUGCCAGGAACUUAGAACCAGUGUCAUUUUCAUUGCAAAGCAUUAGCCUUUUAUCUGAAUCAUAACCCAGGAGACAGUACCAUGCUGGGCUGUCAAACAAGUUAAUAUUCAAGACAGUACACUUUUUCAACUGAAAGAGCAGCAAGGAUUUAUCCACACUUCCUCUUGUGCCACUGCCUCCCACCCGCCCCAGGAAAACUGCUCUUUAGUGCUCAAUCAGACCAAAUGACAACUCAAGUUUUCCCUGGAUUGCCAUUUGUUCUGAUCUAUCACUAAAGAGUGGGUUUUCCCUUGCAGAGUAGGGCAGCAAGGGGAGAACUGCUUGGACCCAUGUAUGGCGCCAGCGGAUGUGUAUAUGAGCCCUAAAUCUGAUCCACCCUUGCCUGCUAUGUUGAGUAUUCAGGGUGCUGUGGUCUUUUCAGAUAAAAAAAGUUCGUUUCAAUUUUCUGUAUUGUUUUUCUGCAUAAUGACUAGUAUUGAACAGGAUUAUAUGAACAUACAGUGGUACCACAGGUUACAUACGCUUCAGGUUACAUACGCUUCAGGUUACAGACUCCGCUAACGCAGAAAUAUUACCUUGGGUUAAGAACUUUGCUUCAGGAUGAGAACAGAAAUCGUGCAGCGGCGCAGCGGCAGCAGCAGGAGGCCCCAUUAGCUAAACUGGUGCUUCAAAUUAAGAACAGUUUCAGGUUAAGAACGGACCUCCGGAACGAAUUAAGUUCUUAACCCGAGGUACCACUGUACUAGAACAGGCUCCGGCACUUCAGAGCAUGCCAGAUAGAGAAGCUAUGGUUGCAAAGUAGCACCAUCUAAUGGCUUUAUACUGUCAUUGCAAGACUGGAAAGCAAAUAAAAAACAGUACAGUGGUACCUCUGGUUACGUACUUAACUCAUUCCGAAGGUCCGUUCUUAACCUGAAACUGUUUUUAACCUGAAGCACCACUUUAGCUAAUGGGGCCUCCUGUUGUUCUCAUCCUGAAGCAAAGUUCUUAACCCGAGGUACUAUUUCUGGGUUAGUGGAGUCUGUAACCUAAAGCGUCUGUAACCCGAGGUACCACUGUAAGCUGAUCCAAGACUGGAAUUCCACGAACAAUUAAAUAGUUGGAAGGCAUGUCAGCAGAACUCAUUAAAAACUUUUAAGAGUUUUAUUCUGCCUUAAUGAAACAGAAAAGAAAGAAAAAACUACUGCAACCAACCAGCCACACACAUCCUUCUCACUUCUCUCUAGUGAUAUCUGAACUUAAAGACAUUCAAGAUUUAUAAGUUCACAGGUGUGGUUCAUUUCCUCAGAGAAGCAUUGUGCAGUGCUCCACUCCAAUAAGUAAUUACUGCGGCUUAAGUGCACCGGGCACAAUCACUACACCUGUGGUUGUGCUAAACCAGGGACAAUCGUAAUCAUUAUGGCUAUUAUUCUUAUUCUACAACUGCAAAUGAGGUGAUCUAGGGUCUGAUGUAAUUAGCUUCUCAAACACUACAAGAGUCCCUUUUCUGAUAGUCACACUCUCCACUUAUACUGGCACACAAAAGUAACCAUACAGACCUCCACAAAUGAAUUCAUGGCAUUUGUGUGCUGCUCCAUAACAAAAAAAAUUCUGGGCAGCUUAUGUAGGAAAACAAAUUAAAUAUGAAAACAAGACAUGAACCCAAGCCAAAAUUAAAAGCAACAAAAACAAAACUCACCAUACUCCAAAAGUUAAAAUAAGGAGAUAUUAUGAUGGAGAUAUAUAUGAUGUCCAUAAAUAAUGGUUGAACAGAAAGAUCUUCACCUGGUGCCAAAGGGACCGAAAGGAGGGUACCAGAUGAACCUUGCUGGGACAGCUGUUUGGUAGCCAAGAUGCCACUAUUAAAAGUCCCUCUUCUCACUGGUGGUGACCCACCUUACUUCCUUUGGUGGGGGAACUCAGAGGAGAACCUCCAAAACAAUACAGUGGUACCUCGGGUUGCAUACGCUUCAGGUUACAGACUCCGCUAACCCAGAAAUAGUACCUCGGGUUAAGAACUUUGCUUCAGGAUGAGAACAGAAAUUGCGCUGUGGCGGCGCAGCAGCAGUGGGAGGCCCCAUUAGCUAAAGUGGUGCUUCAGGUUAAGAACAGUUUCAGGUUAAGAACAGACCUCUGGAACGAAUUAAGUACUUAACCCGAGGUACCACUGUAUUAAGAUCAGAAUUGUUACAUAUUGGAGGAGGUGAUAUUUCAGGUAACCUGGUCCCAAGCCAUUGAGGGUGUUGAAAUCUUGAAACCAAAUAGUUCAAUGUCACAGGAAAACAUGUGAGCCAUGAAAUCCCUGCUCAAACAAAAUGUCACAUCAGCCAUAAAUUCACUAAACAAGCCAUAACAAGUUACACCUACUUCAGACUCAGUUCACUACCCGAUCUGCCAAUAUGGGAUUAAUAAUACAGACCUAACACACAGGGUGGUUGAAAGAGCUCUCAAAACUUUUGAAAUGUGCCAUACAAUAGUAAAUAUUGUUACUCCAGUCCAAUAGCUGUCCCCAGUUCCUACAAGUGAAUGUGAACAGGGGUAGGGCAGGGGCAGAAAAUCCAUGGCAAAAUUCAAAACAAAAACAUUUUUAGCAGUGUCCAUUAUAUGUCAUAGGGGCAAGAAACAGAAGCUAUUGCCCAAGGCAUUUGCAGCAACUUCUUUCCAGCUCUGAAGGAAAAAUAAGCUUAUCAGGAGCAGGCAAGCAUCAUAACCUCACUCGCUGUGUACCAGCAAAUGACCAGGGACAUGAUCUUUCAAUAAUAGAAUGGGUAGAAAUUGAGGGAAUGUAUACUGACAGUUAAACUGGAAGAACAACCUUACAGAGUAAGGGGCAGCUGUGUAGUGAUAAUCUAGGAUGGUGCCUGAAAGCUCCUUUUUCUUAUAAUGCUCCCAGUAAGCAAAGACUUCCGAGUAAUAAAGGGGUAAUGCUCCUGCUUAAAGUUUAUAAUGCAUUGGGGUGGGGGAAAUCAGGUAGGCAUCAGAUAGGAGUGGUUGGGGAAUCUGUGACCCUCCAGAUAUGGCUGGACACCAGUUCCCAUCAUCCCUGCCUAUUGACCAUACUAGUUGGGGGCCAUGGAAGUUGGAAACCACCAUUUGAAGGGCCACUUAUUUCCCAUCCUUUAUUCAAGGGUUGCAGCUGCAGAUUUCAGUCUAGUGUGCUCACUGCCUGUCUCAGCAGAAGCAAGCCUAACUUGGCAACAGUUAAUUUCAAAAGUAUUCCUAGGUCAAUCAAAAGGCAAAUUUGUAAAAGCUUUUUUUUAAAAAAGGCUACUGUAAUUUCUAGCACUUCCUACUCGCAUGGAAGAGCAAUACGGGCAUGGAAAUCAUAUAUAGUCUGUCUACCUAUUGUUGUUUAGAAAACAAAAACAUCAAAGUGUUUUGUGGCACCCUAAGACUGACAAAUUUAUUGCAACAGAAGCUUUCAUGGGCAAGAAUUGGCUUUUAGGUUAGGGUUACCAGACGUCCCCAGUUCCUGGGGACAGUCCCCGGAUUUGCAAAUUUGUCCCCGGACAAAUUCUGUCCCCGGAAUAUUCCCAGAUUUGCAAAUCUGUCCCUGGGAAACGUGGCAACGGCAGCCUUAGCAGCCCGGAGCCAGCCUGUUAGCGCAGUUGGCUCUGGCUGGCUUCAGGAGCUGCUUGCUGCCCGCCAUUUUUCCUGUGACACGGCAGCGAGCAGCUCCUGUAGCCAGCCAGAGCAAACUGCACUACCAGGCUGGCCCCUCCUGGGCAAUGGCUGCCUGCCUGUGACUCCCGAGCCUCUCCUGAUCUGUCAAAACAAAGGGGGAAGGGGGAAGGAGAUCAGGGGAGGCUUGGGAGUCAUGGGUGGGCGGCGCGCUGUUGCCCAGUUUUUAAAAAACUGCAUUUAUGUUUCACAGGGUGUGAAAGAAGGGCUUUGCACCUUUAUACAAUAUGCAUGUGUGCUUGGCCCAGGGUUUUUUGCCUCACCAUCCCCACUACUAACUCCCUGUUGCUACUCAGCUCCCCCCCCCCCCCAAAAAAGUGUCCCCGGAUUCAUUGAAAAAAAUCUGGUAACCAUAUGUUAGGUACUUGUGACAAACUGCAGCUUUAAUGUAUAUAAAACAGUAAGCAUCACCAUUCACAAAACAGUGAUGACUUUAAAACAAACAUUCUGGCAUUGGCAGGGGUGGACUUUGGUCUUUCAAAUUUCAGCAGCUCUCUGUGCAAAGCCAAAACCCACCCCACCCCACCCCCUUCCAUUCUGCUCAUUUCACUAUAUCAGAGUUGCAACACCUUGCAGCCCCUCUAGGCUCAGUGCCCAGUGCGGUAGAACUGGUCAUGCUGCCCUAAAACCGCCUCUGGCACUGGUAAGGAAAAGAUAAAAACCUUUUAUCUUGAUUCAGGCCACAGGUGAUUUUAUUUCACAUGUAGUUGCUUUCUCACAGUCAGACAGAGAUAGUAGCCCUCCCUCCUAAUCAAGUUUAUGAUACAAUUUCCUUUGAAAAAUCUAUGGACUUAAUGGAAGCAAGGGUUAACUUGACCCUUCCAUAGUUCUGUGCUCACACGUGGCCUUGGGUAAAUCACACUCUUUUAACCCCACAUUUCCUAAUGUGUGUAACAUGUAAACAGUGCAACCCAGGACUAGGUAGGUGGAUUGUGUACUUAACCAAAAAAAAAGAAAAAAAACACCACCACCACCCACACUGAUUUAUCGCUUGAGGCUACAAUUCGCAGAAGGCAGCAAAUGAAACGGUUCUGGUUUUAGUGACAUAAAACUUUUAACACCAAGCCUGUAAUUUUGUUCCAAGAGGAUUCUUGCUACUAGCCUUGCUAAAAUUGGAUUAUCUUAUCACAUGUUAGUCUACUGCUUUCUUUACUAACAAAUUAAAAAGUCUGGUCAUCAGUUAGCCACACACACACCUUGCAGAGAUAAGUAUUGAUUUUCUGCUCCACAGAAACAAAGCCUUAGAUGUUCUGUUAAAUGAUUGACUGCAGCUGAGAGCCCUUCUUAAAAGCAGAGAUCUUAAAAUACAUUUGUCAUGCCCACAUCCUAACAGCUUCUGUACACAUGGUUCUCACUGUUCUAGAUGGUGCUCUGGCACACCUUCUCACAAGUUAGUUUGUGAAUGUAAACUGAAGCACAGGAAGUAUAAAUGAUGGUUACCUCUUCCCUUACAUAAGUCAGACCAGUACAAUUUAUUAUCUAUCUCUGUGUGUACACUGCCAAACACAUACAAUGGUACCUUGGGUUACAGACGCUUUAGGUUACAGGCGCUUUAGGUUACAGACUCCGCUAACCCAGAAAUAUUACCUUGGGUUAAGAACUUUGCUUCAGGAUGAGAACAGAAAUCGCACAGUGGUGGCGCAGCAACAGCAGGAGGUCCCAUUAGCUAAAGUGGUGCUUCAGGUUAAGAACAGUUUCAGGUUAAGAACAGACCUCUGGAACAAAUUAAGAUCUUAACCAGAGGUACCACUGUAUAUCUAUAGUCAAGGCAUAUGCUGUCCCCUAGUUGGGUAAAAGUGUUCAAUAAAAAAGAGGCAAGUGUGUCUGUGCAGAGGAGAAAUUACUGUUUUGCUCAUUCCUUUGAAGCCUUCAGUGACUAACGUUAACAUUAUAUUGUCAAAAAUUCAGCAGGCCUCUGAAGGAUGCAUUGUGUUUGUGAGCAAACACAUUUGCAUCUCAAGAAAUCUGAGGUUUAUGCAAUGAGUAGAUUUAAAGGGAAGAAAGCACAUGUUGUUUAUGCCAGAUGAACAUCCAUGCUUACUGUUUUCCUCCUACAUUCAACAUUCAAUUCACCUGGGAGGGAAGGGAAGGAAUUUACUGCAUGCAUAGAAUAAAAUGGGAACAAAGCCCCAUAGAGACGUGCAGAACAGAAAGUUGCCUUAUACUGUAGUGAGAACAUUGCUCCAUCUAGCUUAAUGUUGUCUGCACUGACUGGCAGCAUCUAUCCAGGGUUUCAAACAGGAAUCUCUCUGAGUCCCACCUGGCGAUGCCAGGGAUUGAACCUGGGACCUUCUGCAUGGAAGGCAGGUGCUCUAUUACUCAGCUACAGCCCAUUCCAGGUGGAUGCUGUCCUAGGUAUGCAGGAUGAUACCCUACCCUUUCAAGAUGAAAACCUUUAUCACCAUUUGGCCAUAUAUAAGUGUUUAUCUGUGCUUCUCACUAACCUGCUCCCUUUGUCAGUCAAAGAAUAAUGUGUGUGCAACACCAUUUUGGAAGCAUUAUCACAGAAUCAUAGAACUGUAGAGUUGGGACCCCAAGGCCCACCUAGUCCAACGUCCCGCAAUGCAGGAAUCUCAGCUAAAGCAUCCCUGGCAGAUGGUCAUCCUGUCAGCUUAAAAACCUCCAAAGAAGGAGAGUCCACCAUCUUUUGAUGGAGUCCAUUCCAUUGUUGAACAGCUCUUACCGUCAGAAAGUUCUUCCUGAUGUUUAGUCAGAAUUUCCUUUCUUGUAACUUGAAUCCAAUGCUUCAGGUCCUAGCUCCAGAGCAGGUUAGGUAUAAUUAAAUUUGUGCCCCAAUUCUUAACCUCCCUUCUCAAUGCAUUCCUUGAGUUGACUAGCUGUUGAUGGCUUACUUUAUAAUUAACAUUUUCAAAUUUCUGUACAUAAGUCAAUGAUCCUGAAACAUCUAUGGCUGGCCUUUCUAACAUUUUCAACAUCAAUAAUCCUGUAAAAAACACCCACCCAGUUAUAUAGAGAUUUAAUUUUCUUAAAUGUUACCAAAGGAAGAAGUGGCUGAGCUAUACAUACAGAAGCAAGUAUCCGUCUCAAGAUUCAAUGAAUCUGUUAGCUGAGAUGGAGUACAUUAUAUUAAGUAAAUGACAAUUGACAAUAGGAUCUAUCAAAACAAUGGGUCUUAAGUUUUCCCUGGCAACUUCCAGUAUUCAAAGCUUAUUUGUUGGCAUCUUUGAUACUUCUAAAGCAAGCAAGCAAACAAACAAAUUGAAACCUUUCAUUUUACUCUAGGACCAGCUAAUUCAAUGACAUAGUCAUAUCAUAAAAAUAAAAUCUUAUUAUUAAUAGUUACUAGAACCAAAAGGCUCAGAAACAUUUUUUGCAUAGAGUGUUUGUGGUUUUUGUUUUUUUAAUGUCCACAAGAAGUGCCGUGAAGGGUUAGGUGUCCAUUUCAAUGAAACCAUUUGGCAUUUACAAACAGAAAAAUACAUUUUAGCCAAUCUAUAAUGAACUACCAGAAUGGGAAUGCAUUUUGAACUUUCUGCCUCAGGCCACUGACCACCUCUUUCUCACACAAAUAAUAACUAGCGUUUAGUGUUUUUUAAGCAGCACAUGUCUUUAAAGGCACCCAGGCAGAAGCACUCUGGAGCAGAUCCCUGCUAGGUAAGCAGAAUGAAAUGUGUGAUGAUUAGAUGACACCUCUAAGAAGUGCCCUGAUUAAUCAGGCCAAAGGUCCAGUUAUCUAUCUGCUCUGUGGGCAAUCUGAUGCUUAAAGGAAGCACGCAAGCGAGAGCUGACAGCAGUGGUCUCUGCCUCCUUGCGAUUACUAGCCACUUCACCUGGAAAACAGAGAAACUCUUUCGUACUUAAAGCUACUAAUAUGCUACAUUUUAAGGUGUUUGAGGACUCUUCAUUGCUUUUAUUCCUUUGGCUUAGAAAGUUUAGGAACCUCUUCAACACUUUAUGCUAUGUUUUCACCAACACCAUGUAUCUGAUGAAGUACACUGUUGUCUUCAAAAAUAUCAUGAUGCAGCAAUCCCAUUUGUUUUGUAAGGUGCACAAGCACUGUUAGAAUUAAAAAGACUGCUCUUCUCCACCCACCCACAAUACUUUAUUGUUUUCACUUGUUUAUACAAAGAACAACAAUCAACAGUAAACAAUCCAACACACCCCAGCAGAAGCACCUAGUGUCUAUUUACAUAUAACAUUAGACUGCUCUUCUAACCAACUGUACGUUCUCUCCUGUUGCUCUGCCACUCCCUCUACACCUGGGCAGUUUCUGCUUAGUGAGAAGAGAGCUUAACCAUGACUCCCAGUUCAGAUGAUAUGCUAAGCCAAACUCUGGUUUAGCUUGGAGCUUAUCCAAACUCACAUUUCCUCCAUGCUUUUCAGGUAUUGUCCACACUUUAUAGCUCUGUGUCCAAGCCCUCUUUUUAAAUUUUUGCUCCAGAGCUCUCCCCACAAUAACCCACUUUAAAUCUGAAUCAGACCAAACAGCAAUAUGAAGAAAACCUGAAUUGCUGUUGGCUGCACUUUGGCUUUAUAGAGUGGAUUUCUGAUGCAAAAAAUAAAAAAUAAAAAAGUGCUCGGAGACAGAGCUUUAAUUUACUUAUUUAUUUAUAAUUUGUAAUUUAUUUAUUGCUACACCGCCCUUUUCCCAAUGAUCAUAGGGUGGUUUACAAUACUGUGCAGUCUGGUGUCUCAAAAGAGAAGAGCAAAAGAUAAGAAGCAUGGAUAAGCCCUCAGUGUGGCAGUUAAAACCAGAUGCAAACUCUUCUCCGAGAGCCCUCCCAUUUGUAUUGUGUUGGUUAACCAUUGUUUCACUUUCCAUGUUGUGCAAACUAUCCUAUUAUGUCAGAAACAUUAAACAUAUAACAUUAGCUUAGUUGACAGAGCAUGAGAAUCUUAAUCUCAGAACCAUGGGUUCAAGCACUGUCACAUUGGGCAAAAGAUUCUUGCAUUGCAGGGGGUUGGACUAGAUGACCCUUGUGGUCCCUUCCAACUCUACAGUUCUAUGAUCCUGUGAUUAGGGCUUGCCAGGGAUUGUCAUUUCAAAGCCCAGUUAUUGCUUUUGCCAAAAGACCCAUGAUUAAGGCCAGAAGUAGCAAUUCAUACUCUUGAAGGUAUGUGUGAGAGAGAUUCUGUGGUUGAACCAUGGUAAAGCAAUCACCAGUUGUAUCUGCAUUUAGCCCAAUACGUAACAUAAUACCAACCCUUCAUGUGAUUAUCAUGAUAAGAAUAAGAUUAUAAACGUUACACUGCAGAUCAGGCUGCUACUGGGAGAUUGGAUAAAUAGGUUCAAAUUUGUGUUAAAAAGAAAUUGGUAUCCUUUGUAUCAGCGCAUCAUGAAUUCUCAUAGAUUAAAAUGGCACCUCCUUUCCAAUUAGGCUUAAGUUAUCCUGAUAUUUUCAGAGAUGAACAUACAAUUAUACAGAUUUAAAAAUAAGUAUAUUUUCCACUCAAUUAGUAACCAUUUCAUUUUCUGUACUGUUUCAGAGUGUGAAACAGUGAGCCAACAUGAUGAUGGAAAGCAGCUGAACUGGGGAGCUUUUAAGAGAAUACACUCUAACAGCACACAUAACAUUUGAAUACAUAAGAAAAGUUUCCAGUCUAUAUGCCUUUCUGCCAGGGAGCCAACCAGCAAGAAUUCACACAAAGUGAAGUUAAUUCUUUAUUAAGUAAGGCCUGCUCAGGAGUACUAGGCCUAAUAAUGGGCACAGCAGCUCCUCUCGGUAUGUCUUGCCCCUAUGAGGGAGUUGUGGACACUUGAACUCUAAGGCAAAGAGACACUUAACUCUUAAGGUCACUUCUGCACCAUACAUUCAGAGCACAUUACUUCACCCGAAGAAUCCUGGGAACAUCUCACAGAGCUACAAUUCUCAGCACCCUGAACAAAAUAUAAUUGCCAGGAUUCUUUGGUGGAAACCAUGGGCUUUAAAUGUGUAUUAAAUGUGCUUUAAAUGUAUGGUGUGAAUGUGACCUAUAUCAAAUGUCAGAGAGGAAGGAUUUGGCAGUGGAAAGAAUAGCAGAAAUAGAGAAGUAUUUUUAAAAUAAAUCUCAUUGGAAUUGCAUUUUUAAAAUAGAGGGUUUAAUACUCUGAAAUCAUGAGGAUUUCCUAAAUCCUGAAAUCAUGAGGUCUCCCUAAAGAAUUUUAAUGGUCUUUCCAUGAACCAAGUCUGCUCAAUCAAUGUUUUGAUAUUUUCUGCAUGCUAAUUUAAAAACAGUGCUUGCUAGAUAACAGAGGUUUCUGCAAGAUCAUCCAAGUUCAACUUUGCUGUACCUAAGCUGCUAAGUAACUUGUCAGCAAUGGUAAACAAGGGUACCAAGAUGAGAAUUUGCACCCACAGCAGAAGAAUUACAUUCACUGAAUUUAAAUCAUGGCAACAAUGAAACACCCUGCAGUGAGAUCCUAAACAUGUUUACUUAGAAUUAAAACUAAAUUCAAUUAGACUUAAAGGUAAAGGUAAAGGUACCCCUGACCGUUAGGUCCAGUCACGGACAACUCUGGGGUUGCGGCACUCAUCUUGCUCUACAGGCCGAGGGAGCCGGCGUUUGCUCACAGACAGCUUCUGGGUCAUGCGGCCAGCAUGACUAAGCCGCUUCUGGCGAACCAGAGCAGCGCGCGGAAACUUACUGCCACGUAAAUGUGCUCAGGAUUGCAUUGUGUGUGCGUCUUGUCAUUUUUCUUAGAUCAGCAAAUUAAUUCACAUAACAAAAAUUACAACAGAGUGUGAACAGCAGAGAGGAAAAAUAUGUGAACAUUUCUCCAUCACUGAAGUAGCCAAGCAGUGCAUGAUCAAAGUUAGUAUAAAGAAAUACAAAAUGCAACAAGCAGUGCCAUAAAUUGACUGCAAUCCACCUCUAUAUUCUAUACUAUAAUACCCUUUGACACCCAGGAGUCUUCCAUAGAAAACUGCAGUUUUGAGGGUUCACAAAACAAAGAAUUAAAUCUAAUUUUGAAACAUCAGUACAUUAGUUUAAACUUUAAAAAUAUAGUACGUUGAAAUUUAUUUGCAAAGUAGACAGAUUUUAAAUAAUUAUAGGUUUCAUUCUUUUUAAUCAGCAGCAGUAAGAUUGUGAAGGCAUGCACAUUAUAUUAUUCAAGGAACAACUGAAUCAUCAUGCAAUCUUUAGGAGGCAGAUGCCGGAUAUUAAGAAAACCUUCCAUCCAUGGAGCAAGUUGGAAGAAUGUUAACAGUCAUCUCUCCUAUGCAGAAUGCUGACUUAGCAAGUCUGUAUGUGAAACAUUACAUUCUUUAUCAGAGUAUGAACCACACAUAAGGGUGUUUUUUUAAAAAAAAAAAAUAGUGCAAAAUAUGAGAAUAAAGAUCAAGACCAAGCAAAGAGUCAAAAACUUCUCCAGUGAGGUAAAACACCUUUGGACCAAUAUAUUUCUGGGAAUCUCAAGAAUGAACACUGAAGGUGGGGGGAAGACAUUAAGUGAUCAUAGAUGUCAGACACUUGGCAUCUGCCACCACAGGAUAGUUUUGUUUAUAUAAGGGCUUUCUAUCAUGGUUAGGAGGAAACUCGACAAAUUCCACACAUCAAUUUUUAUUACUAAUGUCUGCACUGCAAGCACAGGGAGGCAACCUAAGUGGUGUUUUGUUCUUAUAAACAUUCAGCUCAAUGCUAAAUAUGUUAACCCAGAAAUGGGGCUGUUUCCUGAGAUGUUUGCCUGGGAACAAAAAGUUUUAGUUUCUGCACAUCUUUUUAAAUUGAAUUUAGGUUCACAACCUAAACUUAAGCCUAAAAUCUUCCUGUAUGCCUAUAUAAAUCAAAUUAACAGCUAUUUGAUCAAGCAACUUUUUUUUUAAUCAUCUGACAGCCCAAGUUAUAAGCAAGUAGAAAAAGAACCAAAGUGGUUAAAUGUAAGAGGGAAAGCUUUUUUAAAAAUAAGGAUCUAAUGAAUGGAUACUUUUGCAUCUGUUGUCUGCAACUAAAAAGGCUCAGAUAAAAACUUGAAAAAAUUCCAUUCCUCCCCACUGCCAAGAAAAUCCCCAAACACCCUGCUACAUCGUCCACUACAAUUUGAUGGCAUUCCAUCCUGAAUCUCACAACAUAAUUGAGUAAGAACUGAUGUCUUCUUUUUAGGAUACAGUCAAGACUGAGUUCUUCAUAGCAUCAUAGCAUCCUCAUUCUUGGAUGUAGUGUACAUUGUUUUCUAUCUUCCUUGUGCGUGCAUGCACACACACACACACACACACACACACACACGUACAUGUGUGUAUGUGGCCAUAUUCUUCUACCAAGGAUUACUGCAGGAUCUUAAUGGCAGGCUCUACACUCCAUGGUGCCUCAGUAUUCUUCAGGCAUGAAUUUAUGCGCACUAGACUAAACUGAUGAUGUAUCUACUCAGCACUAGUGAGCAUCUCUGGGAAGAGAGAUGAGACCUGAAGAAUGACAUCUCUAGAACACACAUGAACAUAUUCCCCGCCCCCUACAAAAAAAAAAAAAAAUACUUCCAGAAAAUAUCAAAAAGCAAAACUGGGUGCAGUGAUUUACAAGAAAACCAAGAUGGUCCCCGGUAAACAGGGAUUGGAGGAGGGAAAAUACUGUUAGGCUUUAUUUAUCAGAAAUGACCUGUCAUGCCUAUUUAAUAACUACAACCAAUUGCAUAUUUUAGGGAGCAAAAAACAUUGCACUGUUGCCUAACAGUAUUGUGAUUUGCAUAUAUAGUUUAUUACAAGCUGCAACAACUCAGAGACACAGCAAGUAUGCCAAUGAAAAAAAAUGUUUCCGGCUUUGGUUUUUAUUCAGGACAAAUUAGAUAUUUCUGAAUUGCUUUUAAUGUCUGCAGACAGUGCUGCUCUCUCUUGGGCAUGUCUUAUUUAUUUGGAUAUGUUAAAGCCUGCCUCAUCCUGAGGCUUCCCACAAAAAGCAACAACUUGUAGUAUAACACAAGAAUGCUAAAAAUAUGUUUUAAUAGCACCGUAUUAGCUUACCCCAGCCAGAUUAAACAUUAAAAAACCAAGAUGAAAUUGUUUGAUCUUGUCACCUCUCUUUUUUAGGGUGUGAACAAUAUGCUGACGACACUCAGUGAUACCUCACUUUUUCAACUUACCUUGGUUAUACAAUGUCAGUGAUUACUCUGCAUUUGCCCAUAGAAAGAACCCAUAACACAGACAAAGUUUAAAUCUACUUCCUCUUCAUUUGAGUGAAGUCACAUGUGCCUCUUAAUCCACAAUCCUAGUCCAACACUCUAACCAUUACAACCAGCCUGGAAUGAAUAAAAAUGCCUUCAACUGGGACUGAAAGGUCACCAAUAAGAGGGAGGGAUCGAAUUCACAGAGGUGGUUCCAACUGGGGUGAUACCACUGAGGCCAUGCCCUGAGUCAUCAUGGCACAUACUUCACCAGAAGUGAAUCUACCAACAGGGCAACUCCCAUGCAGCAGAGGUAAGAGGACAGAAAAACAGAGGAAUUCUUGCAAGCCACCCUUUCCUUAGAUGCAGUCCACUAAGGACAGACUCUGUACCUUCCACUUCCAGAAGCACUUUUUGGCUUUCCUGCUUGGGUUGCCUUUUAAUAGCUGUGAGUAAGCAGGCAUGGAAUGUUUUUUAUUCCUAUAUAAAAUACAUUUUAAUUGUUUUUCUUUUUCUUUUUAGUGCACCCCCUCCACCCAAAAAAGUCCAUUACCUGCC